AUACGUAGGGUGCAAGCGUUAAUCGGAAUUACUGGGCGUAAAGCGUGCGCAGGCGGUUUUGUAAGACAGUGGUGAAAUCCCCGGGCUCAACCUGGGAACUGCCAUUGUGACUGCAAAGCUGGAGGGCGGCAGAGGGGGAUGGAAUUCCGCGUGUAGCAGUGAAAUGCGUAGAUAUGCGGAGGAACACCGAUGGCGAAGGCAAUCCCCGGGGCCUGCUCUGACGCUCAUGCACGAAAGCGUGGGGAGCAAACAGGAUUAGAUACCCUGGUAGUCCACGCCCUAAACGAUGUCAACUGGUUGUUGGGGAUUUAUUUUCUCAGUAACGAAGCUAACGCGUGAAGUUGACCGCCUGGGGAGUACGGCCGCAAGGUUAAAACUUAAAGGAAUUGACGGGG
rnacentral:rRNA from 1 species